rnacentral:rRNA from 1 species
AAUCAACGCUGGCGGCGUGCCUAACACAUGCAAGUCGAACGCGAAAGCCCCGCAAGGGGUUAGUAGAGUGGCAAACGGGUGAGUAACGCGUGGGUGACCUGCCUUCGAGUGGGGGAUAACGUCUCGAAAGGGACGCUAAUACCGCAUGACAUCCUGCCUUUGAAGAGGCGGAGAUCAAAGCCGGGGAUCGCAAGACCUGGCGCUUGUAGAGGGGCCCGCGUCUGAUUAGCAGUUGGUGGGGUAACGGCUCACCAAGGCAACGAUCAGUAUCCGGCCUGAGAGGGCGGACGGACACACUGGGACUGAGACACGGCCCAGACUCCUACGGGAGGCAGCAGUGGGGAAUUGUUCGCAAUGGGCGCAAGCCUGACGACGCAACGCCGCGUGGAGGAUGAAGACCUC